UCCUGAAAUUGGCGAACGGCCCAUAUCACCUAACGAAACCCUAACUCUCUCCAUCUUCCACUCAGUCACUCUCCGUCCUCUCCUGUCGACGGCGGCUUGCAGGCUUGCAGCGGCUGCUCAAGGAGGCAGCAGCAGCCGCGACGGCGGUUGAUCCCGAAGGCGGUGGCUAUGACCUGCAGUGGUGGCGGCUGCUCCCGAAGGUGGUGGCUGCGACCUGCUGCGGCAACGGUGGCGGCGGCGGCGGCGACUCCCAAAGACAAUGGAUCCACCAAUCCCGGCCCCAAGCGACGACUGUGACAGGCGGCGGCGGCAGCUGUUGGUGUUGCAAGCGGCGGGCGGCGGUGCUUGUUCUUGGCCUCAGGGUGAGGAGUAUGGAGGUUCUUGAAUUGUUUUUUUUUUGUUCAAGUUCAAGAAUUCAUGGGGGAGGAAUUCAUUGGCAUGUUCCUCCUGUAAUUUAGCAAGAUGAUUCAGGAAGUGGUGAGGAUUUGAUCCUACUGAUUAUCAAGCAAUUCCUCUCUCCCUAGUCUUCUCUGCUUUCCCCAAGUUAAAUAGCUUUCUCUUCCAUAUAACUGAUUAUCAAGUUAUUUAUGUCUAAUUUUUGCAAAAACCGCUAAAUAGCUUAGUUGCAGCUAUAGCCAGCUAUAGCUGAUCAUAGAUGAUGGAGAACCUAGCAGCUAAAUGUCUUAGCCGGAGAUUUAAAUCCUUGAUUGUAAUUAAAUGCAUAUGGUUCAAGCAGGAAAAA